GUUAAUGUGGCAGAUAAGUGCAAUGAAUUUAAGCUUCAUUUAUAGAGUAAGGCUCUUUUU
rnacentral:tRNA from 1 species